rnacentral:rRNA from 1 species
GACGAACGCUGGCGGCGUGCUUAACACAUGCAAGUCGAACGGAAAGGCCUGCUUUCCCUUGUGGAUUGCGGGUACUCGAGUGGCGAACGGGUGAGUAACACGUGAGUGAUCUGCCCCCAACUUGGGUAUAAGCCUGGGAAACUGGGUCUAAUUCCCGAUAGGACUGCAGGGUGGUGCCUGUGGUGGAAAACGAUUUUCUAGUGGUUGGGGAUGAGCUCGCGGCCUAUCAGCUUGUUGGUGGGGUAAUGGCCUACCAAGGCGGCGACGGGUAGCCGGCCUGGGAGGGUGGACGGCCACAUUGGGACUGGGAUACGGCCCAGACUCCUACGGGAGGCAGCAGUGGGGAAUAUUGCACAAUGGGCGGAAGCCUGAUGCAGCGACGCCGCGUGGGGGAUGACGGCCUUCGGGUUGUAAACUCCUUUCGACCGCGAGGAAGCCACCUGGUUGGAAGGGUGGUGACGGUAGUGGUAGAAGAAGCACCGGCUAACUACGU